rnacentral:lncRNA from 1 species
GGGGGGAAAUUGGGAUUUUUUGGGGGAUUUUUUGGGCAGAAUUUGUGAUAUUUUGGGUAAUUCUGUGAUCCCAGUUUUGGGGUGCCCUGGGGGAUUUUUGGGGGAUUUUUUUGGCAGAAUUUGUGAUUUUUUGGGGAUUUUUUGGGCAGAAUUUGUGAUUUUUGGGGGGAUUUUUUGGGGAUUUUUUGGGCAGAAUUUGUGAUUUUUGGGAGGAUUUUUUGGUCAGAAUUUGUGAUAUUUUGGGUAAUUUUGUGAUCCCAGUUUUGGGGUGCCCAGGGGGGUUUUUGGGGGGAUUUUUUGGGCAGAAUUUGUGAUAUUUUUGGGUAAAAUUGGGAUUUUUUGGAGAUUUUUUUUGGCAGAAUUUGUGAUUUUUUGGGGGAUUUUUUUGGAAUUUUUUUGGCAGAAAUUGGGAUUUUUGGGGGGAUUUUUUGGGCAGAAUUUGUGAUAUUUUGGGUAAUUCUGUGAUCCCAGUUUUGGGGUGCCCAGGGGGGUUUUUGGGGGGAUUUUUUGGGCAGAAUUUGUGAUAUUUUUGGGUAAAAUUGGGAUUUUUUGGAGAUUUUUUUUGGCAGAAUUUGUGAUUUUUUGGGGGAUUUUUUUGGAAUUUUUUUGGCAGAAAUUGGGAUUUUUGGGGGGAUUUUUUGGGCAGAAUUUGUGAUUUUUUGGGGAUUUUUUGGGGAUUUUUUUGGCAGAAUUUGUGAUUUUUUGGGGAUUUUUUGGGCAGAAUUUGUGAUUUUUGGGGGGAUUUUUUGGGGAUUUUUUUGGCAGAAUUUGUGAUUUUUUGGGGAUUUUUUGGGCAGAAUUUGUGAUUUUUGGGGGGAUUUUUUGGGGAUUUUUUGGGCAGAAUUUGUGAUUUUUGGGAGGAUUUUUUGGUCAGAAUUUGUGAUAUUUUGGGUAAUUUUGUGAUCCCAGUUUUGGGGUGCCCAGGGGGGUUUUUGGGGGAUUUUUUGGGCAGGAUUUGUGAUAUUUUGGGUAAUUCUGAUAUCCCGGUUUUGGGGUCCCCAGGGGGGUUUUUGGGGGGGUUUUUGGGGGGAUUUUUGGGGGGAUUUUUUGGGCAGGAUUUGUGGUAUUUUGGGUAAUUCUGAGAUCCCAGUUUUGGGGUCCCCAGGGGGUUUUUGGGGGUCCAGGACUCACCAAUGACGAGGCAGGGGGCGGGCCAGCUGUAGGGGUCCUUGAGGAACAGAGAGACCACCUGGAUUGGGUCCACCAGGAUACCGUACCUGGGGGGGGGAUAGACCCCCAAAAUUAACCCAAAAUAUCCCAAAUUAACCCAAAAUUAACCCAAAUUAACCCAAAAUAACCCCUAAAUUAACCCAAAUUAACCCCUGGAUUGGGUCCACCAGGAUACCGUACCUGGGGGGAGAUGGACCCCCAAAAUUAACCCAAAAUAUCCCAAAUUAACCCAAAAUUAACCCAAAUUAACCCAAAAUAACCCCUAAAUUAACCCAAAAUAUCCCCUGGAUUGGGUCCACCAGGAUACCGUACCUGGGGGGGGAUGGACCCCAAAAUUAACCCAAAAUAUCCCAAAAUAUCCCAAAAUAACCCCCAAAUUAACCCAAAUUAACCCAAAAUAUCCCAAAAUUAACCCAAAUUAACCCCCAAAUUAACCCAAAAUAACCCAAAAUAACCCCCAAAUUAACCCCUGGAUUGGGUCCACCAGGAUACCGUACCUGGGGGGAGAUGGACCCCCAAAAUUAACCCAAAAUAUCCCAAAAUAUCCCAAAAUUAACCCAAAAUAUCCCAAAAUUAACCCAAAAUUAACCCCAAAAUAUCCCCUGGAUUGGGUCCACCAGGAUACCGUACCUGGGGGGGGAUGGACCCCCAAAAUUAACCCAAAUUAACCCAAAAUAUCCCAAAAUUAACCCAAAAUAAACCCAAAAUUCCAAAAUAUCCCCUGGAUUGG